rnacentral:rRNA from 1 species
UACGUAGGGGGCAAGCGUUGUUCGGAUUCAUUGGGCGUAAAGGGUGUGUAGGUGGCCUGCUAAGUCAGACGUGAAAUCCCUCAGCUUAACUGGGGAACUGCGUCUGAGACUGGUAGGCUCGAGGACAGGAGAGGAACGCGGAAUUCCAGGUGUAGCGGUGAAAUGCGUAGAUAUCUGGAGGAACACCGGUGGCGAAGGCGGCGUUCUGGACUGUUUCUGACACUGAAAAACGAAAGCCAGGGGAGCAAACGGG